GUGCUAUCCAGCAGUGAGAUAUUUGCCUAGCAGGGGGCCUCACUUCAAACACAUCACCCGAACACUGUUCCUCGGGGUCUGAUUUGGUUUUCCUGCCUCUGAACAAUCCGCCAUUUGAGCUCUGUUUGGUAACGACUCAAAGAUGCAGCUUCAAACAUACCUUUGUACACACUCUUCAGAAAAGGUUCCGAGUAGAACCUAAUUUUGGAAGCUAGCAUACUUAGCUUAAGCGUCCAGUGAACCCUUGGUUUCCAUGCUAAAUCUUUUUUUUAAUAGUGUAUGUAUUAAAAUGUCUUCUCUAUACGUGGAACCUGUCGGGCAUUUGAACCUUUAGCUUAACAUCUUUGCUACUUUUUUGCUUUUAAAAAAAAUGCUUCUUCAAGGAUUCUUUAGGGGUUUAUUGGAUGAUCGAGGGUUCUUAGCCCACUAAAAGGAUUCUGCUUGGAAGCCUGUCUCACUGGAAGACGCUCGUACGGUUAAAAAAUGUCCGAAAGUAUACCGCUGGGACAAUGUCAUGGUCACGGACGCGACGUUUGAACUUCAGACAGCGUGUCUGUCCGGUCAUGUGACCUUUUUGGAGAAGAAUAUAGUGAGAAUAGAGUGAAUAUAGUGAGGCUGUGAGAUGAUCAAUCACAGUAAUUAAAGUGUGUUACUAUAACAUGAGGUUGUUAUUGCAACGGUCCCCAAAGAAAACCCCCAAAAUUCCAACAUGGCCGCCAUAACCAAGCUUCACCCUGACAUGGAUCUGCUGUCUUGUUGUCUCAGGCUGGUAGCAUUUAUUUAUUGAUUUUUUACACUGCUUGUAGUUUAAUUUUCCACUGAGGACGUGUGUAACGUCAGGUUUAUGUUGAAGUGUGAAAAUGUCUACGCGUCAGAGUAUAAACGUCACCCAAACAUCAGCUAACACGACUUAACCUUUGACCUUGUAGAGGUCAGAGUACACACAAACGUCCUGUUUUGAUCAAGAACACAUGAGACUCCGGCUAUCUUUCUGAAUCUGCAGCCGGCGUGUGUGUGUGUGUGUGUGUGUGUGUGUCUUAUGUUCAGACGUGACGGCGUCAGCGAGAGGAAAACACAGACCUCUGACUAACAUUUCAGAGAGAGACGGCAGCUGCUGCUGAGCCGUGACACCUCCGCAGUGUUUACCUCAGAGAGAAGAAGAUUCUCGACUGGUUCACAACUAAAUCUUUAAAAUACAUCUGUCCUCGUCCACGCUGCCUUUCCAUCCACCGGAAAAGACAGAGAAAUAACGGAUGAAAGAGAGAGAGCCAUUAAGAUGGAUAUUAAGGACUUGUCGCAGCUCUGGAGACAGAAUGGAGGUCUGGAUUGUGAUCUGAUGUCACAGAGAUUUUCAGAGCUCUGUAUCACUGAGUAACAGCACAGACGCCACUUUAAAUCAUCAGCUAGACAUGUGGAGACAGGAGACCCGUCCAGGGUGUCCCCCGCCUUGUGCCCGGUGUUCCCUGGGGUAGUCUCCAGGUUCCCCGCGACCCUGAAGGAAGGAUAAGCGGU
ensembl:lncRNA